UGUGGAAGUUUUUUAGUGGGAGUUAUUAUAAACCUCCAUAAUAUAUUUUAAUAGUGACAAUUUGUAAAACCUCCAUAAAUUAUUAACAAUAACUCCCACACAUCCAUCAAUACUAAAACAAUUUUUAGCCGAAAUUAAUAUUAGCCCAUAACAAAAAUAGAAAAAAAAAAACACAGAAGAGGGGGCUUCGAGCGAUUGCGAGAAAGAGAGAGAGAAGGAGAGGAACCUCUGAAACCCUAAAAUAUCAAUCUCCCUGCCGCCGCCAUUCAUCUCCUUGCCGCCGUCGUCUCCUCCGUCAAAGCGUUGCCGGUGCGGAGUUAUGAAUGGGGGACGAGGUGAUCGUGGAGCCUAUGAAUUCGUUGACCUCUUAGAGUGACGAUUUCAUUCAGAUUGUUGAGGUAAUGCUUUAAAUCUUUGGCUUCUGCGUCGUCUUCUACUGCGGGUUGUGAUGCUGGUUCUGCUUUUCCUCCGACGGCUUGAAGCAUUCAGAGUGCGGUUUGGGCGCGGAUUCGGUGGUGUGGUUUGGACGCAGAUUCGGUGGUGCUAGCUGAGGAGAUCAAGAAGGCGAGCUAGCGAGUCUCUGUCAAGGCAAAGAAUUUGAUAUAGAUUUUGUUAAUUUGAUUUGAUAUAUUAUAAAGUCUCUCCUUCCCAAGAUUUUUGGUUCAAAGAGAACUGGGAGAGGCUCAGACGAUGAUGCUUUCACCAAGCCAUACACGAGGAAGGAGAUCAAAAGGAGUUACUCUUGUUAAUUUCUCUUUCACUCCCCCUUUCUUUGUCAUUGUUGCUUUAAUUUUCCUUUGAUGAAUGUUCUUUUUCAUGUCGAAAGAUUUGGAGAAGAAGAUUGAAUCUAGAAAAAAAGCUUUAAUGGAAGUAUCUCCCUUCAUGAGAAAAAAGCUUCUCAGAAAGGGAGACUAGCUCAGGAAUCGAAGGCCUAAAUUUGUUUACUUUUGAACGACCUGUGGGUCCAGAAACUGAAAGACAGAGUUUCAGGAUAUUUGUUGCAACUUGGAAUAUAGGAGGAAAAUCACCAAACUAUGAUCUGAACCUUCAAGAUUUCUGCUAGUGGAGGGCUUUGCAGAUAUAUAUGUAUUGGGGGUGAGUUUAUAUGUAUAGUUUCAUAUAUGCCAUUAAUUCUUCUUUAUAUGUAAUUAUGUAGGGCCUUUGGGUUGGUCUUAACCUUGCAUUAGCCAUUACUCAAUAUCCCAAAGGGUAUUGCUAUUACAUUUCCUAUUUAUUUUGCAACAGAGGUAAUAAGUUCUGGAUCUUUUUCUCUUGUUAGUUAAAUCUAUGGUUUAUGAUGUAGACUUUCAUAUCAACUAUCACACAUAUAGCAACAACCAUUAAUUUGUGAUGCAUGGUUCUUGAUUGGUGAUGAGCGGAUAAUUUAUACGCUU